AGUGAACGCUGGCGAUAGGCCUAACACAUGCAAGUCGAACGGCAGCACAGUAAGAGCUUGCUCUUACGGGUGGCGAGUGGCGGACGGGUGAGGAAUACAUCGGAAUCUACUUUUUCGUGGGGGAUAACGUAGGGAAACUUACGCUAAUACCGCAUACGACCUACGGGUGAAAGCAGGGGAUCUUCGGACCUUGCGCGAUUGAAUGAGCCGAUGUCGGAUUAGCUAGUUGGCGGGGUAAAGGCCCACCAAGGCGACGAUCCGUAGCUGGUCUGAGAGGAUGAUCAGCCACACUGGAACUGAGACACGGUCCAGACUCCUACGGGAGGCAGCAGUGGGGAAUAUUGGACAAUGGGCGCAAGCCUGAUCCAGCCAUACCGCGUGGGUGAAGAAGGCCUUCGGGUUGUAAAGCCCUUUUGUUGGGAAAGAAAAGCAGCAGGUUAAUACCCUGCUGUUCUGACGGUACCCAAAGAAUAAGCACCGGCUAACUUCGUG
rnacentral:rRNA from 1 species